rnacentral:rRNA from 1 species
CAGAGAUUUCCGAAUGGGGAAACCCAGCAUGAGUUAUGUCAUGUUAUCGAUAUGUGAAUACAUAGCAUAUCAGAAGGCACACCCGGAGAACUGAAACAUCUUAGUACCCGGAGGAAGAGAAAGAAAAUUCGAUUCCCUUAGUAGCGGCGAGCGAAACGGGAAGAGCCCAAACCAACAAGCUUGCUUGUUGGGGUUGUAGGACACUCUAUACGGAGUUACAAAGGACGACAUUAGACGAAUCAUCUGGAAAGAUGAAUCAAAGAAGGUAAUAAUCCUGUAGUCGAAAAUGUUGUCUCUCUU